AAAUGUCGGCUGUUCCUAUCAUUGUGAAGUAGAAUUCAUCAAGCGUUGGAUUGUUCACCCACUAAUAGGGAACGUGAGCUGGGUUUAGACCGUCUCAAACACAAAGUUA